GUCACAAACAUAAAUUUCGGUAUGAUACGACGGAAAAUUUUCCUCAGGAGAAAUUUCUCCCCCCCCCCUCCCCCCGUCGACAACAUUUCCGGGAAAAAUUUUUUAGGUGCCCUUUCCGAUAGUAAUGUGCCCCUACAAGCCGGUGCCCCCCCAAACUCCAGGUGCUUCCUACGCCCCUGCUCUGUGGCAUGAGCUUGGACGUGCGUAUACAGUACGUGUUGGGCACAAAAUGGCGAUGAAGUAUUCCCGAAUGGAAGGCGUUGAAACUCAUACACAUCUGGUUCUCUUGCAGUCUCG